CCUACGGGAGGCAGCAGUGAGGAAUAUUGGUCAAUGGGCUUACGCCUGAACCAGCCAAGUCGCGUGAGGGAAGACUGCCCUAUGGGUUGUAAACCUCUUUUGUCAGGGAGCAACGCCGGCUACGUGUAGCCGGACUGAGAGUACCGGAAGAAAAAGCAUCGGCUAACUCCGUGCCAGCAGCCGCGGUAAUACGGAGGAUGCGAGCGUUAUCCGGAUUUAUUGGGUUUAAAGGGUGCGUAGGCGGAAUGCCAAGUCAGCGGGAAAAUCGCGGGGCUCAACCUCGCUCCGCCGUUGAAACUGGCGUUCUUGAGUGGGCGAGAAGUAUGCGGAAUGCGUGGUGUAGCGGUGAAAUGCAUAGAUAUCACGCAGAACUCCGAUUGCGAAGGCAGCAUACCGGCGCCCAACUGACGCUGAAGCACGAAAGCGUGGGUAUCGAACAGGAUUAGAUACCCGAGUAGUC
rnacentral:rRNA from 1 species